rnacentral:lncRNA from 1 species
UGAAUUUCGCAAAACGAGUGAAGACAAUUCUUACAGAGGAGAAGAAAAGUUUGAAUUUUUAAGAGAGUGGAGAUAAAUGAAAAGGGGCAUUAAAGUGGAAUCACGAGGAAUCCAUGAGGUGGGCUUUAUCAGAAAAAAAAGAAGAAGAUUGGAUUCUAGAGAGAGAGUGAUAGAUUCAGAGGUUCAAUUUGAAGGAAGAAAAAUGCAACUUUUUCUCUUUUUUGCAUUCAAGACUUACCUCAGAUCUCUCGUGACUUCUUCGUUACCGUCGUCUCACCGUCACUGCUUCAUCCUUGUUAGGUUGCUUCUCUCUCUCUCUCUCCCUAUGUGUCACUGUCUCUCUGUUUAUAUAGAGACAAACAAUGUGCAAACUAUACUAAUGAUGAUGAUUAGCAUCAACUAAUGGCGUGAGCUUUAUGUACUAAUCCAUGCAACGCGUGUCUUCCAUGCACUUAUGUAACGGAUGUUAUUACUUAAUCAUUAGCAAAUUAAUUCAACUAACUCGUUUUAUCGUCAUUCACUUAAAUUUUUUUUUUUUUUUUGGCUCAACUUCAAAUUAUCAUUAACCAAAGAGGUAGUACAUGAAUUUUGUAACCACAAAUGAUUUCAACCACACUUACAAACAAAGUGAUCUAGUAUCACCUAGAAACACAUAGAUGGAUCUUACGCUACCCAAUCGUUUACUUUGUUAUAAUUCUACCCGGUGAGUACAAACUCUCCUCACGACUCGGGAAAAGUUGCCUCUUAAACCACACCUAAAUUUGACCACACUAAGUGAAAGCAUUAAGACACAACUAACUAAACCAAAUCAAGAUUAUACGUUUAAAGCUCCAGCUUUAGUCACCAACAUGUACGAGUUCAGCUCUUAGACCAAAACAUCUUCACCAUAUGGUGCAAGUCUAGACAUGGCCAUCGUUGCCGUGCUCAAACGCCUGAAAGACGGAAGCACGUCCGUACUGGUAAACUCGGGCUCGGCGGCAAGCAAACAAACGUAGCUGGAACAGCAAUCAGGGCUUCCAAUGCCGUGGUCUCUACCACUGUAGAUGCCGGAGAGCCACCUUCAAUGCUGGGAAGUAGAGCACCACCACGUACCUGCAACAGAAAUCAUCCGAACGGUUGACAAGUCCGACGGAAUGAGGCCUCUGCGACGCGCCGUACUCCGAGAACCAGAGGUCAAGAGCAUUUUUCACCGCCAACUCACCGCUCCUCCGUAUGGGAUACCGUCACACCAGAGGGUAGAGACCAAGCCGGAGAAGGGUUCCCACUGAGCAACGCGCCGCCGCCGUGAAAGGAUCGCCAGAGAUCUACAAAAUGAGAAAAUCAGAUCUGGCGUCACACUUCACCCUAAAAGCCGACCUUUUCCGAUCAUUAUUCAGAACAAAAAAAACGCGAAAUAUAUACUGAUCGACCUGGUCCAUUUCACUUGAUCGGCGAAGGUCGAUUUACAGAAUAGAUCGAUCGAUCCCGUGCCGAGGAAAGAAUCCCAAAUCGAUUUUUUUGGUUUUGUAUGAUUAUAUCCGGAUUGAUUCCCACUUGAUUUGACCGACCAAGCAUGAUUUCAACUCUUUAAACUCGAUUUCUCUGGGAUGAAAAUGAAUAUUCUCAAAUAUUCUCAAAUAUUUGAAUUUCUAAAAAUAGGAAUUUGAAUUUCUAAAAAUAGGACACGCCUCUUCAAGAAUGUUCCAUCGACAACAACCAAAGGUGGGCUUUAUCAGAAAAAAAAGAAGAAGAUUGGAUUCUAGAGAGAGAGUGAUAGAUUCAGAGGUUCAAUUUGAAGGAAGAAAAAUGCAACUUUUUCUCUUUUUUGCAUUCAAGACUUACCUCAGAUCUCUCGUGACUUCUUCGUUACCGUCGUCUCACCGUCACUGCUUCAUCCUUGUUAGGUUGCUUCUCUCUCUCUCUCUCCCUAUGUGUCACUGUCUCUCUGUUUAUAUAGAGACAAACAAUGUGCAAAC